rnacentral:lncRNA from 8 species
GCCAUUAAUGAGGACAGUUCACAUAAAAACAGAUCAGAUGACUUAGGUGGUCUAUAAAUUGUUAAAAUGAUCAGUGGUUGACAGCCAGGGAGUUUACCACACAGACAUCGAAAGGAAGAGAGCUGGGAUACAGAAACCAGGGUUUUAAUUUCCAUGAGCAGGAAGCACAAAGGUAUAUCAUUGCAUAACUCGGAAAUCCCAGUCCUAGGGCAACAGCACUAGAAUAUUAUUUGCAUUGUGGGAGGUAACCUGUCUGCCUAGGGAGAUUCAAACUUACCUUUGCACCUAGCACUCUUUCAAGUUCCUAAUCUACAGCAAAUACAUAUUGUCAACAAGGAAGUUAUGCUCAUGUUAGGGACAGCAGGCGACUGACGCAACGCAACGUUCAGCCUCGGUUCUCUGGAUAUCCCUGUCGCCAAUAAGAUGUAAUUUCAACUAACUUCCUGAAAAUUCGCAAAGGUCUGGCAUAAAUUGGUAUGGAGGACAGACAGGUGAACACAUCCUGCAUCUUGGUGGGAGUGGCAGAGUCUUGGGCCUGGUGACAGACAGUGACGCCAAGCCUGUUCAGGAAGGAAGUGAAGAGUUUAAUUCCAAAACGCUAUAUAUACAUUUUCAGAAAUGUUGGUCAAAUCUAAUCAAAUCAAAGUUUAUUUUGUCACAUACACAGAUUAGCAGUUGUUAAAGUUGGUGCAGCGAAAUUAGUAAAUUGGUCAAUUAGAAAUUGGUAAAUUAGCUUUUAUUGUCUAAAGAAAUUAUGAAAGAGAUCAGUGUGUUUUUUCCACUAUCUGAUCAUGGCAUGGAGUUGUUCAAUGACAGACAUGUACUUGUUUAAAAUAUAUCACCUGAUGGUUUCAUUUCAAAGAGACAAAUAAUUAUGUUUUUUUUUUUACUAAGUGCUAUACAGUAUACCUGCCUCACGCUUCGAUAAAUUAGUAGUACUGCUAGGUUUUACACAGUCAAAUGUAACAAAUAACAAAAAUGUUUAUUUAAGAACUGCACAAAUUAUACAUUUCUGUCAAUAUAUAAAAAAAUCUAAAUAAAAAAAUCGAUACAGUAAUAUGAGAUCUGUAUGUGAAACAUUUACAUUGGACAUUUCAAUAAUUUAGCAGAUGCUCUUAUCCAGUGUGACUUACAGUAAGUGCAUUCAUCUUAAGACGCUAAGUGAGACAACCAUAUAUCACAGUCAAAUAUACAGGAUACAAACAUUCCAUUCCAGCUAAACAAUGGAUAUACAUAAUAGUGUUUUGUAAAAAAAAAUACAUUUUCAUACAGAGAAAAUCUAUGAAUAAAAAAUCAGUAAUUUCUGAUGAAAAAACACAAAUGUGAUAAAUUGGUAGAUAUAGCAUUUUGGAAAUGAACUCAUCAAGUUAUGCUCAUGUCAAGUCCUGUAAAUGAUGCAAUGAAUUACCUUCCUGAUUCCUGCUCAUGGAAACUAAACCCUGGUUUCUGUAUUACAUAGAAAAAGAUGAGAUCAGAUGUGAGCAGUCUGAAUGAUUGUACCUGGGGAAGUUUAGGAAAUUGUACACUGAUA